rnacentral:misc_RNA from 1 species
UUGAUUUAUUUUUGCGUUUGCCACUCAGAUAAUACUGCAUGAAAAACAUUGAGUUUGGGUCUCCGGCGGGCGCCUUUCUCCCGGCGCCGGCGAGGGCGCGGGGGCUAAGCCCGCCGAAGCAACGAUAGGUAGGUUCACAUAGGGUUGGGAGUUUGUAAACUCGGUAAUGAUCCCUCCGCUGGUUCACCAACGGAGA